UCUUGAUAGUGACUCUCACAUGGUCCCCCACCCUUUCUUUGCCGGAGAGGUUUCGGGUGUGCUCACAGGGAGGGGUGCCUGAGGACGGAGAUGCACUCAGGUGGCCCUGACAUCAGCGUGGGCUUUGUUGGGUCAUCAGCAUGACCUUCCCUCCGCCCGGCACACGGGGCAGGGCGCCCACGCUGUGCUCCGCGGCUCUCUGAUGGGCACGGAGAGAUUAAUGCCAAAGGCUCAGGCUAGCGUCCUGACCCCAGGAACGUGCCGUCUCCGAGAAGAACAGCGACCUUUAUGAAAUCAUGUUAAGACUGCAACCUGCGUGGUGAGAAGACUGUAUCUGAGUUUUGUUUCAGCACCACCGAACCAGAGACGAGCCUGGUGCCUGGUACCACGGCUGACACAUCCAUGCCAGUUCCAGGAGAUGGAAGUCUGAGAGGAAGACGUUGGCAAGAUGCUGCUUUACGAUGUUGAUUUUUUAAAACUGUUCCAAACAUGAUUUUUGCAGUGCUGGUAACUGCCUUUUGUCGUUUACGCUUUUUGUUGAUUGUUUUUAACUUUAUAUUUGUGGCUUAAGAGAAAGUAGUAAGAAGGGCAUAAUUUCAUUAAUUGAAAUAAGAGACCAGCAGUGGGUGAUCAGAGAAAUCAGAUCCUGAGCCGCUGGAGAGAGGAGACCUCCGUCCCUGCAGCUAUUCCUUCUCCAGAGAACGAGCGUCUCAGCCAGUCUCUACCUUGAAACUGUCUCCUUCCCCAUUGCUGCUACUCAACCUGCAACUGUCUUUGCCGACGGACUCUUUGAGUACAUCCACCCCCAAAUUCGCUGCAAACCCGCCUCCCCCUGCUUAGUCAACCUGAGAUCAUCAUCACUAGGUGAUCUGUCAGCCCGGUGGCAUUUUAUCCUGAAUCAAAGAGCGUUUUCUAACGCACGCUCCCACUCUGGUACGUAGCAACAGGGAAAGACAAGUUUUAAAACAGAUGGAAAAAUCUGAGCUCUUCCUACUUUCCAUAGUGAAACUUUUGUCUGUCCAUGCAGUUACUAAAGAUUAGACGUGGUAUAUAUAGCAGUGAAGAGCCAGAAAGAGUCAUUUUUUUCCCCAGUUUUUUUUUCUUAUGAUAAAAUAAAAGACAUGUAAAAUCUGCUA